rnacentral:lncRNA from 14 species
GGAAGAAGCACCAUGUGCUCAGAGGCACAGAGCAUGGUUUCUUGACCUGGGUUGAGAAGUGCUGUGAGGCCCCUGAAGAUGCCAUACCAGAGAGAACUGACUAGAUAACACUUAGCUAGCUGGUGCCAGGGUUACAAACUGUUCUAGAAAGGCCAUAAUGAGUCUCGAGAAAGGAAAAGCUGGAGCAGAGAACGGGAGAGUGUCCAGGGAUGAUGAUGAAUGGCCAGGAGCUACAGAAAGACUCUGUAAGCCAUCUAAAGAAGUCUUCCUUCUCCCUGAAGACAGAGGACAGGUAUGCAAAGGACUGAUUGGCACUAACAUGAUUAGAUUGCUGGCCCCACUGUGGAGAAAAUACUCUUUGGAAAAGAUCGAGGAGAGGUAAAGAAAUGUGAAAAUGCUCUGGUUGUGAUGGUGGAGUCCUUUAACCCCAGCACUCAGGAGGCAGAGGCAGGUG